rnacentral:misc_RNA from 1 species
UUCACAUUCUCUUUCUCUUUGAUUUUUUUUCAAGAUUGUUUUUGUGUUAACUCAUCACAACUACCUUAAUCAAGACACUUGUAUGGUUUCUUCAUACAUUGAAUCAGAUAACAAGACAUUUCAGACAAAGAGUAUUAACUAAAAAUUUGUAGCCAGUCUAGAAAAACACGAACUUUUAUAGUAUGUUAAUUAAAUUAGUACGUGUACUACAAAAAAUGUGUACAAUAAGACCCUUUGCUCGUUCAUUCGGUGUUAAUACCAUCUUGAGAAGAGAGCUAAUUUCAAGGAGUUGCAUUGAUAUAAUAUAAAUUUAGAAGAAUGAAUAUGUCAAGUGUUGCUUGUCACUGGUUAAGUGUUUAUAUUAAUAGUUGGAUCCCUGUCCCAGUGGGCGCUACAUGUAGUUACUCAGCUAGCAGCAACUAUGUGAGCUGUACUAUCUUUGGGAUGAAAGGUUUGGUGAUUUAUAACUUCCAAAAAGGAGGAAUAUUAUAAUAUUGAAUAAUAAAGAGAUGGAGCCCGGGAUAUUAUCAUCUCUUUGCAUUUUCACAUCAAUCCUCAAUCUUCAUGUCUUCCUCUCGAACUUCUAUUCGGUUAAAAAAGAAAAAAUCCGGAGUCCCAUCCCUGGAUCUGGCAGGUCCUAUUCCUGCUGAAACAAUCGAUGACAUUGUGGCAACAUCUGGAAAUAGCGUUGAGGAAUUUAUCGGGACUUUUCAUGGACUAGGCACUAAACAUUUAGAGUCCUUCUUUAAGAAUUUAAAUAAGAGCCAAACUCUAGAAUGUUGGAAGAAUUGGUCAAAACUGUAUACGGAUCAAGAUCCCGCCAUUUUCAGCAUAUUUUUGAAUCUCAUCAAAUCCUCUUUACAGGACGAAAAAGUCGUUCCACCGCUCCAUUCCAUUAUCAAAACUAUCAAUCCUCUCCUCUCUUCUGAUAAAUAUUCGGAUACGAUAAGAAACAACAUAUUAAGCAUUUGUGACCGACAAUUUAAGGACUUUAUAUCUGAUCAAGUCUUCGUAUCUCAUCUUAUAAUCUAUCUACUAAGGAAAAAUUUAGAUGAUAACUUUUCUGCAAGUACUGCUAAACGAAUUAUUAAUGUACUAACAGAGACUCGUAUCAUGGAAACAUUGGAACCCACUUUGAAACCUUGGAUUUUACGAACUAUCAACGAAAAGUCCUAUUAUCUAAAUAAGGAAGGUAUUAAAUGCCUGGCUUUCGUAGUUGUAAAAUCAAAAUAUAAUUAUGGCAAUCAAUUUCAUGAGAUGACCAAGUCCAUUCUCCCCGGCAUGAAAAUAGAGAAUAUAUAUGCAAUUGGGGAAUUAUACAAGAAAAUAUGGUUGAAAUAUACAUCGUCCCAAAGAGAAAAUUUCCAACAAAAUUGCAUUCAGGACCUAAUGUAUCAUGGUGUUCUUGCAAAUAGAAAUCUUCCCAAGGAUUAUGAAAUAUUUCCUCAAAUCUUACGCUUGCUAGAUCCUCUUCAUCAAGAUAAAAAUAACAAGAAUAUUCAAGCUAUGCUUUACAAUUUGUGGGAGCCGAUUUUGUGGAGGAAUUUAAAGGCACCCAAUCACAAUGUCCGCUGUAAUGCAGCAGAAUUUUUAUUCAGUGCAUUUCCAUGUGAAAAUCCAUUUUUGAAUCUGGAAGAGCGAACUCUAGUUCAUGACAACCAAAUUAAAGUUAUGAAUGAUCUCUUACUUGAUCAAGAACCUUCUGUGCGCCUUAUUGGUGUGAAAGGAGUAUGUCAAGUUUUAUCCACUUAUUGGGCAUUUCUCUCUAGCGACUCCAUUAACGAGUUAAUGAUGACUCUUAUAAAAAAGUCUUCGAGGGAUUCGGAUUCUGUGCAGAUCCGUGUUGCUGUUCUCAAUGGACUCUCUGAUAUUAUAAAAGAUGCUCCCUCCAGUCAUGUGUACCUUAAAAACAUUCUUCCCAAAGUGGGUGAUUCUCUUAGGGAUGUGAAUGAACAUGUUCGCCUCUCCAUGUUAGAUUUACUAUCCAUUGUGAAGAGUGUUAAAUAUAUCGCGUAUUGGGAAAUAUGUUCGUUAGAUGAUCUCCUCUAUUGUCUUUCAAGAGAUAAUUCUCCUGCUGUUUGUCGGAGACUCGUUAAGUUAAUAUUUAAUUCUUUCUUUCCCAUGAAAGAACCCGAGUCCGUGAAAUUAGAACGUUGCGUCUUUUUGAUAGAGAAAAAUGUAUCAGCAGCAAAUAAAUUUUACAAGUAUUCCAAUAAAUAUAUGGAAUUGGUCGAUUCCGUGAAGUUUAUGCUGACAAUUUUAGUCUCUUUUAAGAGACACUUGAGUGUUGCUCCUAAUUUUAACUCGCAUCAAAAUAGUAUUGAAGAUGAUAGUUUUUCAAACAAGGAAAACGUUGACGAAGAACAACCAAGCAAUCUAGUCAAUAGCGAACAAGAUAUAUCAAAUACGUUUUCCCGAGUUGAAGCAGAUUCUUUUUUAUCUGAUUUCAUUAUUAUGGACAAUUUUCUUGAUAUUAUAACUGUUAUGUGGAUCUCAAGAUAUGAGGAUUUGUUGAAAGAAGAAAAUACGGAGUAUCGAGCAGUUUUAGAAAAGAAAACCACAAAAAUCAUGACGAAUAUGUUCAGGGUAUAUAAGGGAACAGAUAUGUCUCGAAAGAUUAUUUACCUUUGCAGUUUAUUUUCCCAAAAAUCAGUCAAUACCAUUGUAAAGUAUUGCCUAUCCAGUUUAAAGACUUGUGACUUUCAAGCUUUAAUUGAAGGAGGGACUAAAUUAGAUACAAAAUCCGCAAUUUCAUCAUGGAAAGGAAAUUUUUUCUCGAAGGAACCUCAAAACUUUUCUAUUUUCAUCGAUGCUCUAUGCAAUUGGAAAAAAGGACAAGAUCUUAUGGAGCUCAUACUCUAUGGAAUUGAAAAAGGAUUUGAAAACAUCAAUGGACUCUCAUUAUCCUUAGCUUCAUCAGCCAAGCGUCGCAAGAGUGUUCGUUUUAUAGAAAAGGAUGAUAAGAUACAAUUAAGAUCCAUAUCCUUCUUAACAUAUGUAUUUCGCCAUUCAAUCAACAAGCAAAGAGUAACUUCUGAGAAUAUGAAGGAGUUGAAGGAAAUAUAUAUUGAACUGUCUAAAAUUAAGGAUUUCGUCAAGAGGGAGAUAGAACAAAAUCAUUUCAACGAGGAUGCAGCCACAGAGCAAUAUGUUCUCUAUACAUGGGAAACAUAUCUAAAGACUAUGCUAAUGGUCGAGGAUGAUAAUAGUGUUAUUUCUUCAUUUGUUUUUGAGUGGCUUAAUUAUCUUAGAUUAAGCACAUCCUCGUCAAAUCUUCGGAGUUACGUCCUCUGCACAUUCCUUUUAUUUCUAAGUAACGCCUUUAGCUUGGGUAAGCUGAAUAAUAGUAAUGAAGAAGUUCUUACUGAGACGGUCAUUUUUAUUAACCAUUUUAAUUCUCCGAAUGCUGUGGAGGAAGACGACUCCAUGGAAGUAUCUUAUUUGUGUUUGGCUCUUUUGGGUGAAAUUCAAGAAUGGAUUUUCCAUCAGAAGUCUUUAACCGAUAUCAAUGCCACUUUAAAAUCAAUUCAAGGUUGUCUAGUAGGGAUUUUAAAGAAUCUAAAACUCGGAAGUGACGAAAAUCAUACCAUAACAAGUGAUAUAAAACAGAGUUUAAACUCGUUUGUUGACUCCUGUAAAUUGUAUACCUCCAAACCCGAUUCCUUUUUCAACUUAAUGAAAGUGUUUUCGCAAAUGAUCAUAGAGGAUAUGAACGCAUAUUUGAAGAAAUUUGAAGAGGAGCCUCUUCCAAAUUUUUCCAAAGAACUACCUCCUUUAUCCCUCUUUCUGAUCCAAUUAUUGGUCCCCAAAUAUGGCAAGCAUUUAAUAGAAGAAUUGAGAAUAUCCCUACAAUUGAAAUCCUUGAGUGAGAAGGACAUCCUCUCGGCUAUUUGGUUUAUAUAUAUCCUUGUUAUUGAUGUAGAGUUCAAAAUAUCUACAGUGGAACUUCGGCGUGUGCUAUCCACUGUAGUAAACCUUAUGUAUCAAUUGGUUCUAGGAAUAUACCCCUCCGGAAUAUUAUAAUAAAUAUGUAUCUGCCAAUAUGUUCCAUUUACAGAUGGAUCUGACCCAUCUUAAGGAUACGUAGAUAAUUUUCCCAUCUGCAGAAAAACUGUUAGUCGAAGUUGCCAUUAUAAAAAAAGUACUGAUAAAUUAGAUGGGGUCCUUUAGGGUUCUUGAAGUGUUGGUGAGGAUUUUAAAUCUGCCUUGACGCCUCAAAUUCAUACUGCUUAAUCCAUUGAUGAGGAAUAUAGAGGGUUCUUUGAAGUAACAGCUGUAGUUUAUUAUCUGUUUAUAGAACAAGCCUACAAAAUUGCUUUGUCCAACUGAAGCAACUACAAGUUAAGGAUCCAAGAGGUCUGGAAUUAAUGAAGUCCAUUCAAUCUCAUCUAGAUUCCCAAGUUGAUUAAUUAUACUCAUUGUUUUUUGUUUUUUUACGCAAAUUAAUUUAUUAAUAAUUAUUAUAAUUUA